rnacentral:rRNA from 1 species
GUGCCAGCAGCCGCGGUAAUACGGAGGGUGCGAGCGUUAAUCGGAAUUACUGGGCGUAAAGGGCGCGUAGGUGGUCGCGCAAGUCGGGUGUGAAAGCCCCGGGCUCAACCUGGGAAUUGCAUUCGAUACUGCGUAACUAGAGUCUGGUAGAGGGAAGCGGAAUUCCGCAUGUAGCGGUGAAAUGCGUAGAUAUGCGGAGGAACACCAGUGGCGAAGGCGGCUUCCUGGACCAAGACUGACGCUGAGGCGCGAAAGCGUGGGGAGCAAACAGGAUUAGAUACCCUGGUAGUCCACGCCCUAAACGAUGAGGACUAGACGUUGGGGGGAUAAAACCCUUUAGUGUCGCAGCUAACGCGUGAAGUCCUCCGCCUGGGGAGUACGGCCGCAAGGUUGAAACUCAAGGAAUUGACGG